CCUUGUACACACCGCCCGUCACGCCAUGGGAGUUGGUUCUACCUGAAGCCGGUGCGCGAACCGCAAGGACGUAGCCGACCACGGUAGGGUCAAUGACUGGGGCG
rnacentral:rRNA from 1 species